ACGAACGCUGGCGGCAGGCCUAACACAUGCAAGUCGAGCGCUGUAGCAAUACAGAGCGGCAGACGGGUGAGUAACGCGUGGGAAUCUACCUAGUGGUACGGAAUAGCCCAGGGAAACUUGGGGUAAUACCGUAUAAGCCCGAAAGGGGAAAGAUUUAUCGCCAUUAGAUGAGCCCGCGUUGGAUUAGCUAGUUGGUGGGGUAACGGCCCACCAAGGCGACGAUCCAUAGCUGGUCUGAGAGGAUGAUCAGCCACACUGGGACUGAGACACGGCCCAGACUCCUACGGGAGGCAGCAGUGGGGAAUAUUGGACAAUGGGCGCAAGCCUGAUCCAGCCAUGCCGCGUGAGUGACGAAGGUCUUCGGAUUGUAAAGCUCUUUUGGCGGGGACGAUAAUGACGGUACCCGCAGAAUAAGCCCCGGCUAACUUCGU
rnacentral:rRNA from 1 species